rnacentral:tRNA from 1 species
GUCGGCAUUACAUUUGGUUACAAACUGCAAUUGACUUGUAAUCAGUAGGUCCCGGGUUCGACUCCUGGUGUCGGCA